rnacentral:rRNA from 1 species
CAGUAGCCGCGGGAAUACGGAGGGUGCAAGCGUUAAUCGGAAUUACUGGGCGUAAAGCGUGCGUAGGUGGUGGUUUAAGUCCGUUGUGAAAGCCCUGGGCUCAACCUGGGAAUUGCAGUGGAUACUGGGUCACUAGAGUGUGGUAGAGGAUAGUGGAAUUUCCGGUGUAGCAGUGAAAUGCGUAGAGAUCGGAAGGAACAUCUGUGGCGAAGGCGACUAUCUGGGCCAACACUGACACUGAGGCACGAAAGCGUGGGGAGCAAACAGGAUUAGAUACCCCCGUAGUCCCUGUCUCUUAUAC